UACGUAGGGGGCUAGCGUUGUCCGGAAUCAUUGGGCGUAAAGCGCGUGUAGGCGGUCCGGUAAGUCCGCUGUGAAAGUCGGGGGCUCAACCCUCGAAUGCCGGUGGAUACUGUCGGGCUAGAGUGCGGAAGAGGCGAGUGGAAUUCCUGGUGUAGCGGUGGAAUGCGCAGAUAUCAGGAGGAACACCAACGGCGAAGGCAGCUCGCUGGGACGGUACUGACGCUGGAGGCGCGAAAGCGUGGGGGGCGAACAGG
rnacentral:rRNA from 1 species